UUUAUCGAUUCAGACAGUGCCUAAAAUAUAGUUUUGUUUUCCCAGAAAGGCGUGGAGUCAGUUGGUUUUUGAUAAGAAGCGAUGCUCGCCUGUUUUCGCAGAUACGGAGGAUUUCUGGCGGAGUUUUGAUGCGCUGGACUGAUGAGCUGAAUUUCUGAGUUUAAAAAAUGACCUCAAAGAAUUUUCGUCUGGAUGAUUUCGUCGCAGGAUGGAUCGGCGGCGCCUCCAGUGUGGUCGUAGGACAUCCACUGGACACAGUGAAGACGCGGCUCCAGGCAGGAAGUGGCAACCAGAACACGCUGCACUGCAUCCUCUCCAUCUACAGGAAGGAGACGGUGAUGGGGUUCUUUAAGGGCAUGUCUUUCCCGCUCGCCAGCAUCACUGUCUACAACUCAGUUGUGUUUGGCUUCUUCAGCAACACUCAAAGGCUCAUAAGCAAGUAUCGCUAUGGCGACGGACGGCAUCCCUGCGGCAUGCUGGACCUGACUGUGGCCAGCAUGCUGACCGGACUGAUCUCAGUGGGGCUCGGCGCUCCAGUGGACCUGGUCAAGAUCCGACUGCAAAUGCAGACACAAAUGGUUCUGGCAGAGAACCUCCAGUUGGCUGGUAAUGUGGCCAACGGCACCAACAUCCCGCUCCGCUCCGUUGACAUUCCCAACCAGCGACUCUACAGAGGCCCGAUCCACUGCAUCAGCAACAUCCUGCAGACCCAGGGCAUACUGGGACUCUACAGGGGGGCCGGGGCCAUGAUCCUGAGGGACGUCCCCGGAUACACACUCUACUUCAUCCCUUACGCCAUCUUCUGUGACCUGCUGACCCCUUCCAGCUCGUCCAGCCCUCAUCCCUGCUCCAUCUGGCUAGCCGGAGGUUUAGCAGGGUCCAUCUCCUGGGUCACGGCCACGCCAGCUGACGUGGUGAAGAGCCGAAUGCAGGCCGACGCCCAGCUGCAGAAGAAGUAUAAGGGAGUUUUACACUGCAUCGUCCAAAGCUACAGAGCCGAGGGAGCAGAGGCAGAAAACCAUGUGCAAUUCUUGGAGCUUGUCCGUUUUUAGCUGGAUUUAUAAAACCUAUCAUGAUUCUGCAACACAGACAAGAUAAGCAAGGUUUUCUUCCGGGGAGCUUCUGUGAACGCCAUCCGAGGUUUCCCAAUGAGCUCCACCAUGUUCCUGAUGUACGAACUCUCUCUACAGUUCUUCAGGAGUCAUUAGGACUGCUGGGAAUCCGGAAACGCUGGGCCAGAAACCCAGUGAACCGGAGCCAGUUUGCUUUAGACGAGAGAUUGUGAGCACUUUAUAAUGGCCGAGAGUCAGCAGCUUUCAGUCAAAUGUUUUAGGUCUGAGCCAAAAUUAACCCUUUUUAUCACAGUUAGAUUACUUUAAGAGUGAUGUUUUACUGUCUAAUAAUCUGAAUCUGAUUAUUCGGAUCACCAAAGUUAUGCAUGUGUUCAUGCGCAGAUUUCUGCUUUAGCAUUGUAAUUCGCCGAAACAGACACACAGGUGUUGAAGAAGAAAGAUAUGAGACUUUAGAUAAGCUAAGAAACGUUUCUGAAAGUGUUUCUGGAAGGUUUUUUAAAAUUAUUUUUAAUUAUUUCUUAACAAAUUUGUUGCAAAUGGGAUACUCUGAUGUUUAAAUAAUCAAUGAAUGAGCGGCUGUAACAGCAAAGAAGAAAAGAAAUUGCACAAAGAAUUGUUGCACAAUUUAGUAAAUUAUUAAGUGACGAUAAAAAUACAUUUAUGGAGGCCAAGUGUAGCCUGAAGGUCUUUGAGAAAGUUUAAUUGGCUGGAGUGCAUGAACUGAAACAUAGGACACAUUAGUUUUGCCUGGCUGGACAAACUUGUUCAAUAAGUUUGAUAAAAAGUGUCAAAAAGUAAAAAUGAAGGAAAAACUGCAAAAGGUUAUUCAAGAUCAUCCAUGUUGCUUUUACUUUUCUCCAAUAAUUUUAUGAGUUCAGCUAUUCUGUGGAAAUUUUCCUCUACUUAAAACACAAUUACACCUUAUGACCCAAUGUUCUUUCAUAGUAAGACAAAUCUGAGUUUUAGAUUCAUGUUUUAAUUGCAUUUGAGCUCUUUUUAGGUUGCAAUGUAAAAGUAAACUGACAGAUGGAUGACUUAGGUGUCAACAAAACGUUUUGCUUGCCAAAAAAAAAAAUGUGUGUGUUCCUUGAAGAUGGUAAAGUCUGUUAUGGAUCAGUCCUGCAUCUGAAUCUGAGCUGAGUUUGCACAUCUGGAGGUUUUUAUAAUGAUGUCACAUGUUCCUGUCUGUGGGGGAAAUUACAGGCACAUAAUGGUUUUUAUUGCACAGUGUUACAUGGCAUUCAUGUGAUGAUCUGUUGGAUAAAAAAUGCAGCAGGGAAGAAGAUCUGAAAAUGUUAUUUUAAUGACAUUAUGUACGUUAGACAUGCAAGUACUGACACAUUUGGAUUUUCUUAAUGAAUUUUGAAUAAUAACUGAUUUAAUUGGGAUUUCUUUUUAGACUAAAAGGGUUGAGGUGUAAUUUUUAGAAUUCACUAAAAUGAGAAAAAAAAAAUUAUUUUUAAUGUAUGUGACAUUUUUGACACAAUGUGAUUAUCAAACUCAAUAUUGUGAUACUGUCUACUUCUACCUGUAUCUGUGUUUCUUAUAUUAAGAAAAGUGAGUUUUACUUCAGUUAAUUUUAACUUUCUAAUAACUUUUCUGAUGUAACUGAGCCACAGUGGCACAGUUACAUUGUUUUUAGUUAAGUUCUGCAGCAGAUCAACACGUUUCAACCACUAAAUCAACAUUACCAUUGCAGAAGGGAACUCAAAUGGAAGUAUUAACAUUUUACAUAGCUUUAUCCUUAUGUAAAUAAGUGUAAAUAUGUUUAACUGCUUUUCUGGAUAUUGAAAAGCCUAAAGUGUCCUUAAAUAAAUCUUUAUAAACACUU